rnacentral:rRNA from 1 species
UACAGAGGUCCCAAGCGUUGUUCGGAUUCACUGGGCGUAAAGGGUGCGUAGGUGGUGAAGUAAGUCGGAUGUGAAAUCUCCAAGCUCAACUUGGAAACUGCAUUGGAAACUACUUUGCUAGAGGAUUUGAGGGGGGGAUUGGAAUACUUGGUGUAGCAGUGAAAUGCGUAGAUAUCAAGUGGAACACCAGUGGCGAAGGCGAAUCCCUGGAAAAUACCUGACACUGAGGCACGAAAGCUAGGGGAGCAAACAGG